CCAUCGCAGAUUGGCAGGAUAGUGCCAGUUGUCGUAGCAAUUUGACAACUACACCAAAAUUAAAUAGCAUAGCGGCGGUGACACGUCCCAACCGCUGAAAAACAACACAAUGAUAUAUAUAACAAAUUAACAUAGCGCGUUCAUAGAAUCUUUUUCGCGUGAAGUCAAUUGUGCAGGGGUGGGAACCAUUUCUCUGAGAGUCCUUGCCGCCGUGGUGCUCCCCUCAGUCAAUUCCAGUAGGCUUCUCCUGGCUCCUUGCCAUUGCUGUGUCCAUCAUUGAGUCGCUUUCCCUCCCUCUAACAUCGGUCCAAAACCUAGGUUUGCUAAGCCCUAUUUCAAUUUGGUUGACUUUUCUUUUUGGUUUCACUUUUCAAUUUGUCUUAGAUUGAUCUUGUUCUUCUUGAUUCGGGUAUAUAUAGUAAAGAAUUAGAUUCGCACUUUUUAUCUUCGUCGCACGAACACAAAAGGGGCAGAGGCAUGAAACACACCUCCGCGCGCGAAUCCUUGUCGCCGUUCCCCUCCGCUCGUCAAUACCAGCUGCAACACGCUUCCCGUUGCCAAUGGGUCCAUUACCGAUCAGCUUCUUUGUUUAGAUUACUACGUGGCUCGAUCCUUGGAAUCACGGGGGAUGAUAGAGGAUGCUCUUAAAGUAGCUACUAACCUUGAUUACAGAUUUGAACUAGCAAUAUAGCUUGGAAGAUUAGAAGUUGCAAAGGUUUGUUCUUGUAAUGCCUGCAAGAGCUGGUUGAUAUUGCUGUUAAAAGUAAAUCACCAAGAAAUGUUGUCACUAGGGAAGAAUCUGCUGAAAUUGUGAAAGAAAAGGGAAAUCAAGGUUACAAAGACAAGUAGUGGCAGAAAGCCAUUGGAUUUUAUUCGAAAGCCAUAAAACUAAACAGCAACAAUGCAACAUACGACAGUGAUAGGUCCCAAACUUAUCUAGAACUUGGAAGGUAGCAUAUCAUUCUUGCCUUUCACUUCUCAAAAGUUAUUUAGCAAGCAUUAUGAUUUUUUAUUUUAUUUUAUUAUUAUCCUUUAACUUUUUAUGCAAUGACCUCCAAGCUGAGGCGGAUUGUACAAAAGCAAUUAACCUUGACAAAAAGGUGAUUUACCUCUAUAAAUAAUCCUGAACUUGGAUAAUUAUGAAAGUUCUGUGAUGAUUGAUUUUCUUGUCAUGAAGACAAACAACUUUUGCUUAUAAUCCAAAGUCCAAAUAUCAUGAGUCUGCUUCAUAUGAAGCUCCUUCUAACUUAGGUUCAAAUUCUUGCAUAUUCUAUAAUUCCUUAGAUCUAGUAGCUGUGCAGAAUUUUAUUAUUUAUUGAUAUUAAUUACCUGUAUUUUCUUUUCUCGCAAAAUGUCAAAGUGUAUUUUAGAAGAGGUAGAGCUAGAGAGAUGCUUCGCUACUAUACCGAUGCAAUUGAUGGUAAGAUUUUUCAUUCAGUUCAGACUUGUGUGCGACAAGUAUCUGCACAAGCUACUAUAUUUCUUUUUUUACUUCUUUGUUCGAUUGUUGCUCUUAUUUUCAUAUGAAAGUUUCAGAAUUUCCAAAUCAUAGGUGAACUAUUUUUCUUUGCACAAUACAGCUUGGAAGAUUAGAAGUUGUAAAGGUUUGUUCUUGUAAUGCUUACAAAUAGAUAUUAGUUGGCUUGUAAAAGUUGUUAACUUGGUUAUCAAAUUUCUAUAUUUGUGUUUCACUUGUUAUUUCAUGCCAUGAAUAAUUUUUGCCCUCUUUCACUGCAGAGUAUUGCAAUAGAAAUGCAGAGUGAGUCUAAAUGGAAGCAAAUGAGAGAAUUAGCUAUGUCUAAUGGAAGGUUAGAUAUGGCUGAGGAUUGUUUGAAUCAUGUGAUGGAUUUGAGUGAGUUAUUACCGUUGUAUUCUUCUUUAGAAGAAGCUGAAGGAAUAUCAAAAUUUGUUUUUUUGGCUAGUUGUAGAAAAAAUUAGCAUUUGGACGAGCGAGUUCUUGAGUGUCAAGAGAGUGGCUGAUCCUGGUCCAUCCGCUGAGUACCUGGACUGGUGGCACCGUGUUGCACAUAGGAUUCUGUCACCAGGAAUUGCUUUCGCCGACCUCAGGCUGACUCAGGUUCCGGACGAUGCUAUACUCAGAGGGUCGUCGUAGGCGCCGACUAGAGUUCCAGCGUCGGAUAUGCCGGAUAACAGACGUGUGGAGCAAAGACGACACAUUGGGACAUGUGCACUGAUCGCGAGUGGCACUGGCUAGAUGACACGAUGCAGGAGGAGCAGGUUGGUGGUGAUGACGGAGGCCAGGCAGAUCAUCGCCUUCGUCGAUCUAGUGCUAGACGACGGGAUGCUCGUGCUGGACAAGCACCUCCCGUCCACCAUGAUGACGAGGCUGGAUCGUCCCGUGGUCACCAUGGAUUUGGACGAUUAACUGGCUGGACCCCACUUCUAUGCAGAUUUUGCUGAGAUCAUACGGGGUGACGACGUUCAUCAGUACCAGAGUAUGAUUCCACGCGGCUCGUCCGACCCUCCGGAGUAUAGGCCACAGCCAGCGGAUAUGCUGUCCCAGGUUCCUAAGACCCAGCUCCCGGUCGACCUGAAUGAGCCCGCAGGCAGCCCGUACGACACUUGGUUCGGCAUGGGGGGGACGCCACCAUCUACAGUUGGAGUUGGGCUACAGGAGGCUCCACCCGGAGAUCGGCGAGAGGCCAGGGUUAGGCGUCCGACUCGAUGUGGCACAGGCUCGCACCUACUUGGUCCAUUCGUGGGCGACCAUGAUGUUGAUGGUGACCAGCAGUAGCUCCCAUUGUCUUAUUUCCGACCGUUAUCCUUGUAUGAAUUAUGACUUAUUUAUUUUCUGAUAGGGUUAACGACUUGUGAUAGUUAUAUUUGUAUGAGUUAUGUAGUUAACUUAUUUUGUGUUAUUGUUAAUGCCUGGUGGCUAUUAUUUUCGUA